CCUACGGGGGGCAGCAGUAGGGAAUCUUCCACAAUGGGGGAAACCCUGAUGCAGCGACGCCGCGUGAGUGAAGAAGUAUUUCGGUAUGUAAAGCUCUAUCAGCAGGGAAGAAAAAAGACGGUACCGGACUAAGAAGCCCCGGCUAACUACGUGCCAGCAGCCGCGGUAAUACGUAGGGGGCAAGCGUUAUCCGGAUUUACUGGGUGUAAAGGGAGCGUAGACGGCGCGGCAAGUCUGAAGUGAAAGGCAGGGGCUUAACCCCUGAACUGCUUUGGAAACUGUUUAUCUAGAGUGUCGGAGAGGCA
rnacentral:rRNA from 1 species